UCACGGUUUACACCGGCAGUUUCGUUAGAGUUCCCGGCAUUACCCGCUGGCAACUAACGAUAAGGGUUGCGCUCGUUAUGGGACUUAACCCGACACCUCACGGCACGAGCUGACGACAACCAUGCAGCACCUUGCAAAGAGUCCCGAAGGAAAGAAAUGUUUCCACUUCAUGCACUCUACAUUUAAGCCCAGGUAAGGUUCCUCGCGUAUCAUCGAAUUAAACCACAUGUUCCUCCGCUUGUGCGGGCCCCCGUCAAUUCCUUUGAGUUUCAGCCUUGCGGCCGUACUCCCCAGGUGGAUCACUUAAUGCUUUUGCUUAGCCGCUAACUGUGUAUCGCUAACAGCGAGUGAUCAUCGUUUACGGCGUGGACUAC
rnacentral:misc_RNA from 1 species